rnacentral:lncRNA from 1 species
UUUUCUAGCUGCUCAGACUGUUGGCUGGAGGGAAGACCUUGUUGAGCGCAGAGGCAGAAGGCAUCUUCCAUUCUUGACAGGGGAGACAAUUUAGCACUUGUGAGAAGCCCUAGCAGGCUCCAUCCUCUCCCCCAUAUCUCCCUCCUGCAGCCUCCCACCCAACCCCCUAUCCCAACAGCUUUAAGAGCCGUCAGCUGCGGAUCCCCACCAGAAGACAGACUGGCUGCAUAGGCAGGUGAAGGCGCAUGGUCCCUUGGGAGUCUGGAACCAUAAAGGAUACUGCUGAGUAGACAAACCCACAUCCAUUGGACAGAUGGGGCCACUGAGCCCAACAGAAGGAAGAAACAAUGAACUUUACAGGAGGCCUCUGCCACCUCUCCACUCCACAGCUAACAGCUCCCUGUUCUGGGAUGACCAGCACAGGAGGACUGUGUCCUGCAAUUGGCUCCCACAGACUCACUCCCCUCACAUGACUGGGGGGCCGAGAUCAUAGAAGCCGAGGCUUAUUGCUACUUUUGAAUCUUAUCCCCUCCUCCUUUUCAGAUUUUAAAUAUAUGUGUCAUGGGCAGGAGGGAGAAUCGAAAUCGAAUCGCCCCAUUCAUCGCCUCAGUAUUUUUUUCUUGUCAUUCUCGUAAUAAUAAUACAGCAAAUUCUGUAGCCUUCUGUUCUCC